rnacentral:rRNA from 1 species
CAGUAGCCGCGGGAAUACGAGGGGGGCAAGCGUUGUUCGGAUUUAUUGGGCGUAAAGGGUGCGUAGGCGGUUUGGCAAGUCUUGUGUGAAAUCUUCGGGCUCAACCCGAAGCCUGCACGAGAAACUACCGGGCUUGAGUAUUGGAGAGGUGAGUGGAAUUUCCGGUGUAGCGGUGAAAUGCGUAGAUAUCGGAAGGAACACCUGUGGCGAAAGCGGCUCACUGGACGAUAACUGACGCUGAUGCACGAAAGCUAGGGGAGCAAACAGGAUUAGAUACCCCCGUAGUCCCUGUCUCUUAUAC